GACGGAGGAUGCAAGCGUUAUCCGGAAUGAUUGGGCGUAAAGCGUCCGCAGGUGGCAGUUCAAGUCUGCUGUCAAAGACCGGGGCUUAACUUCGGAAAGGCAGUGGAAGCUGAACAGCUAGAGUAUGGUAGGGGCAGAGGGAAUUCCUGGUGUAGCGGUGAAAUGCGUAGAGAUCAGGAAGAACAUCGGUGGCGAAGGCGCUCUGCUGGACCAUAACUGACACUCGAGGGACGAAAGCUAGGGGAGCGAAUGGG
rnacentral:rRNA from 1 species